UACAGGCUUAACACAUGCAAGUCGAGGGGCAGCAUGGUCUUAGCUUGCUAAGGCUGAUGGCGACCGGCGCACGGGUGAGUAACACGUAUCCAACCUGCCGUCUACUCUUGGCCAGCCUUCUGAAAGGAAGAUUAAUCCAGGAUGGCAUCAUGAGUUCACAUGUCCGCAUGAUUAAAGGUAUUUUCCGGUAGACGAUGGGGAUGCGUUCCAUUAGAUAGUAGGCGGGGUAACGGCCCACCUAGUCAACGAUGGAUAGGGGUUCUGAGAGGAAGGUCCCCCACAUUGGAACUGAGACACGGUCCAAACUCCUACGGGAGGCAGCAGUGAGGAAUAUUGGUCAAUGGGCGAUGGCCUGAACCAGCCAAGUAGCGUGAAGGAUGACUGCCCUAUGGGUUGUAAACUUCUUUUAUAAAGGAAUAAAGUCGGGUAUGCAUACCCGUUUGCAUGUACUUUAUGAAUAAGGAUCGGCUAACUCCGUGCCAGCAGCCGCGGUAAUACGGAGGAUCCGAGCGUUAUCCGGAUUUAUUGGGUUUAAAGGGAGCGUAGAUGGAUGUUUAAGUCAGUUGUGAAAGUUUGCGGCUCAACCGUAAAAUUGCAGUUGAUACUGGAUGUCUUGAGUGCAGUUGAGGCAGGCGGAAUUCGUGGUGUAGCGGUGAAAUGCUUAGAUAUCACGAAGAACUCCGAUUGCGAAGGCAGCCUGCUAAGCUGCAACUGACAUUGAGGCUCGAAAGUGUGGGUAUCAAACAGG
rnacentral:rRNA from 1 species